GUCUAUUUCCGCCGUGAUGAAUCCGCCGUGGUAUCCUAUCUCUCUCUGCCCCGGCGGGGGCGCAGCAAUUGCCGGAGGAUCGCUAUCGUUAGUCCAUAAAGGUAAAUAAGGAUGGAGUGUUACUUCGCUCCAUUCGGCAGCACGUUGGUCACCGAAGCUUUUGUGCUGCGGUAAAGGUCCUCGUCGGCAUGCUGGUUACAGAAUAUUUGUGAUGGAUAUAUCAAGAUGAAAACUGUUGGCGAUUAGCCCGGCGUCAAUUUGUUAACAGAGGGGUGUGUCGGCAAAAAGAAUUGAAUGUUGUGCAAUGGCAGAAAUUGGAAAGAGGACACCCAAAGUUGGUAUGAAGUUCAGAGAUUUGGAAGAGACUUGGGAGUUUUGGGUAGAUUAUGGGGGUCACAUCGGCUUUGACGUGAGGAAAAGAAGACAAGGUAGCAUUUGAAGAAGCGUUUUCCAAUAUGAGUGCAUAAGCAAACUUGGUUAGAUAGUAUCUACAAGGUGGAAGAAAAAUGGGCUGAAUGUUAUAUGAGAGAUGUCUUUAGCUUGGGAGUGAGAAGUACACAAUUAAGUGAGAGCUUCAACAAUGCAUUGCAAAAUCAUUUGAAAUCAGAUUUUCAUAUUCUUCGAUUCUUGAUGCAUUUUGAGAGGACAGUGGCAGUAAAAAGAAGAGCUGAAUUAGAAUUAGAAUUCGAUGCAAUAAAGAAUAUACCAAUAAUUAAAAUGAAGACUCCUAUGUUGGUGGAAGCAAGCGAAGUAUACACUCUGAUUAUUUUUAGGCUUUCCAAGGUUGCAUGGAGAUUUACAGUUUGAGGAGGAGCACAUAGUGAUAGGUGAUCCUUUGACCAAAACGGUUUCAUGUAGUUGUGGGAUGUUCAAUAGGACAGUAAUCUUGUGUGCACAUGGUCUAAAAGUGCUUGAUUUGAUGAACAUAAAGACAUUGCCGGCACAUUAUGUCUUGAAGAGAUGGACUAGAGAAGCUCGCAAUGGAAGUAUACAAGAUAGGCAAGGAAGGAAUGUGGUAGAAAAUCCAAAAAUGAAAGCUGAACUUCGAUACAAGGAUUUGUCUCAUAAAUUUCACAAAAUGUCACAAAAAGCAGCCAACUCUCCACAAUGUUGUAUUCUAUUGGAUAAUGCACUUGAUUCCGUCGCUCCGCAUAUACAUGAUUUACUCAAUGCAUCCACUAGUGCCAUGAAUGAACUAUGUAAAGACAAAGAGAAUGUUGACCCAAAUGUGCAGCAAAUAGAUGAGUUGCUUAGAUCUGCACGACUGAAGAAAAAAGAGGUUCAGUCAAAGAACUUAAGGAGAAAGGAAAAUUGGCUUGAUACGUUACUCAAGAGGAAGCACAGAGUAACUAAAGGACCAACAAAACAGGGAGAAAAGAUAUGUUGCAAUUGGUACAUGAUAUGUUGUUAUUGCUCAUUUGUUAACUAAUUACAGUGAUUUUUGUUCUCAGCCACAAAGGAAGGAGGAUGGUGUGCAACAAAAGAAAAAAGAUAAAAGAUGGUGUGCAGCCUUAAGUAGAAGUGGAGAAGUAUGACAACAACAAAAAGUAAAUUUGGUGCUUCAAGAGUGCAAUAGUAUUAUGAGUUUCACCCAGCUCUUGACGGCUGACCAUGAUAAUCUGUUCUAGCAUGGAAGCUCCUUAGAUAAUAUUUUGUACAUGGUGGUGAUGAUGAUGAUUAUCUGUUCUAGCAUGGAACUUGUUAGAUAGUAUUUUGGAUAUGGUUAACUAUAGUAGUAUGGGGUUAACUAUAUUAGUAUUUUGUAGCCUAAGUGUACAAGCAAGUGGUACUGAAUUUGAAUAUAUCGAGCUUUUGAAUUACAAGUAAGUGGUACUGA